CCACCACCUGUUCCCAUUCCGGAUCUGAAAAUGAAGUCCUAGCACCUUUACAAAACAAUUACACACACAGUUUGACUUGGCUCCUAAAUGUCCCACCAAAUCCAUCAAAAUUAUUAUUUCCUUUUACAUGAAAGGAACAACACAGUAACCCUUUGUCCUUUGCUCUAAGUUGUUUUUCCAGGAAUGGAGAAAGGUUACUCUGAGCAGUUCAUACUCGCCAGUUGUCUGUUAGUGAAUAAUAGCACACAUUUGAGCUACUUCAGGGUCUGUGAGAUGACCCAUUCAACAACAUGGCCUCACAUGCCCUUGUUCUCUUAGGCACUUCAGCAACCCAACCUUAGGGCUACACCUUGGAUCAUGUUGCCAGUCAGUGCUGCUUGACCAGAAUUUUGAAUUCUGGCCACAGCUGCUUCUUGGACUUUUCAUGUCACUCUUUCAUGUUUAUUAAGUUUUGUCUUAAUUUCCAUAAUCUUUGCCAGUUCUUUAACCCCUCUAAAAUUCUCAGUCUCUCACUCCUCUGCUAAGGAAGGGUUUGAAGGCUGCAAAAAAUUGGAAGGAGGCAGAGGGAAGAAUGUUAAUCUAGAAGCUUUUGCAUAGCAAGCAGAAACUUCUAGAUUCAUUAGUAUUUAGAAUGUAUGCUUACCUGGUGCACCUUGUGGGUAACCAUAGAGAUUAUGGAUAGAAUAACGGGAAAGGAGAGAGGGAGAUGAUAGGGGACUACACUCAGAGGUGGUGAGAAAGACAGAAAAGGAGAGAUUUAAAGACGUGUAGGUAAAAUCAAUAGUAUACAUGAGAAGAGGUAAGGGGUGCAAGGAAUAGAAAUUCAUCAAAGAUGGCUAUAGUUUCUCUAACUUGAGGAACUGAGUAGAUGGGCGAUAAUGCAUUAAUCAAGUUAAAGAACAACAGUCAAAAAGCCAAAACAGCAGAAAGUACAAAGAACAUCUGGUUUACUUGCCUCACUAGUCAUCGUGGUUGUCACAUUUGGACUGCACAGGAAGCAUUAUAGAGAGAUUAUAGAACCCGGCUGGUUCUUGGAUCCAACUGACUGUGUGUCUGUGUGUCUGGGAUUCCUUUUGGAUCCUGCUAUGCCAAAACUGGAUCAAAACGAACGCCAAGUGCUUACUUUGAAAAAAUAGGCAAAUGGUGGUGGCAAUGGCUCACGCCUGUAAUUCCAGCACUUUGAGAGACC